AAGUAGGUCUUAGUGAUCCGGUGGUUCUGAAUGGAAGGGCCAUCGCUCAACGGAUAAAAGGUACUCCGGGGAUAACAGGCUGAUACCGCCCAAGAGUUCAUAUCGACGGCGGUGUUUGGGCACCUCGAUGUCGGCUCAGUCACAUCCUGGGGCUGAAGUAGGGUCCCAAGGGUAUGGCUGUUCGCCAUUUAAAGUGGUACGCGAGCUGGGUUUAGAACGUCGUGAGACAGUUCGGUCCCUAUCUGCCGUGGGCGUUGGAAGAUUGAGAGGGGUUGCUCCUAGUACGAGAGGACCGGAGUGAACGCACCACUGGUGUUCGGG
rnacentral:rRNA from 1 species